rnacentral:rRNA from 1 species
UGGGGAAUUUUGGACAAUGGGGGAAACCCUGAUCCAGCCAUCCCGCGUGUGCGAUGAAGGCCUUCGGGUUGUAAAGCACUUUUGGCAGGAAAGAAACGUCGCGGGUUAAUACCCCGCGGAACUGACGGUACCUGCAGAAUAAGCACCGGCUAACUACGUGCCAGCAGCCGCGGUAAUACGUAGGGUGCAAGCGUUAAUCGGAAUUACUGGGCGUAAAGCGUGCGCAGGCGGUUCGGAAAGAAAGAUGUGAAAUCCCAGAGCUUAACUUUGGAACUGCAUCUUUAACUACCGGGCUAGAGUGUGUCAGAGGGAGGUGGAAUUCCGCGUGUAGCAGUGAAAUGCGUAGAUAUGCGGAGGAACACCGAUGGCGAAGGCAGCCUCCUGGGAUAACACUGACGCUCAUGCACGAAAGCGUGGGGAGCAAACAGGAUUAGAUACCCUGGUAGUCCACGCCCUAAACGAUGUCAACUAGCUGUUGGGGUCUUCGGACCUUGGUAGCGCAGCUAACGCGUGAAGUUGACCGCCUGGGGGAGUACGGUCGCAAGAUU